AGAAAUUUUUUUGACUUGCCAACUUCUCUCAGACUCUCUCUCCUCACUUUUCUUCAAACCUUCAGAAGACUCUAUCAUCUUCCCUUCAAAAAAUCUCUGACACUUUGGGCAAUGACAACUUUUUGCACUUCUCACUCUCAAUUUCAAACGGCUCUUGACUUUUCUUUUGAAAUUCUAAUUCAAAUUCCCGCUCUAAGAACCCUAGUUGCAUCUAUAAAUACCAACUGUGUUGCAGCCAUUUAGAGGGAGGAGUUUUAGCCGGUGUACACCCACUUGGCAACAAGCUUUUAGCCGCCUCUAUCUUCCUAAAACUUACUGUUUUCCUCUUCUUUUUUUAAAGCUCAGCUCUGCCUCUUACCAUAACCAAGGCAAAGGCUCUGUUUUCUUACUCCGACAAUUGACGAGCAGGUCCGAAGUCGACGCCUUAGUUCACUGCAGACGCAAGAGGUGCCUAUUGAAGAAGUUGGGGAAUCCAGUGUUCAGGUACAGCUUCCGUGAAGGGAACAAAGGCGCUCAUGUUUUGGCUAAGCUAGGCUCGAAGCUUCCAGUUUGUAAUCAACUAUGUACUAUGCUAUAUACUCCUGAAACUGCAAAAGAAACUAUCCAAGCAGACCAGCAAGGAAAAUCAACUACUAAAGUAGUAUCAUUAGCAUCAUGUUAUAUCUUAGCAAGUCUAGGGAACUACUAUGUAGUCACUAUCCAUGAUAGUGCUCAGCUGUCUACUACUACUACUACUUCGUCUGUGAUGCCGUAAUAUAUUUAAUAUAUAUCCAUUUUACCCAACCAAAAAAAAAAGUCACAUUGACGAUUUAA